ensembl:snoRNA
AUCAGCUGAAAAUUGUCCUAGCCGUGGCCGUGUCCACGGGUGAGAUUUAGCGCCUACAGCCAGCAGUUUCAGCUCACCCCUCAUUCCCUGGUAUGGGGAUGUGAAACCCAGGCCCCAACAGCA